UUCGGCCUACGUCCAGACUCCGCCCACGUCCAGGCUCCGCCCUGUUGUCUGAGUUGCGCAAUCCAUAGCCGGGGAAGCGCUACGUGGAGACCGGACUGAGUGGAUGCGGAGCCCUGGAGCUGGGGAAGUAGAGGGCGGAUCUUGAAUGGGAUGCUGGACAUUGCUCAUGAGAAACCCGAGGAAGAUACUAAAAAGACAGCCACAGUUUUCCUCAUGCCUGCCGCCAAGUUUCUUGAGGGCCCAGCUGUUGGGGGUCUGUGGUUGAGUUUUUAAGCAGGAUCAAGUUACAAAGCGCCACACACCUAUCCACAGGGGUUCUGAUAUGGGACCGGUGUCUAAAGGUGUCGACUGGCCAUCGUCCUUCCACACACGAAGCCUCUCACAUAAACAGACUCAGAAGAAGGAGCUGUAACAGCUUUGAGAGUGAGCUAGUAUAUUGGUCGAAAACUUCUUGUUGGAAAACAGAAAUCUGAACAAGUCAGCUCAGGCAAAAUAGGAAAUUUAUUGGCUCAGAUGAUUUGGAAAUUCAGGGAUAAUGCUGAUUUUAGAUGCCAGGUUAUCAACCCCAAUGAAAAAGAGGUAUUCUGGUUACUCUGGCAGAAAAGUCUUGGGGAGGACUCCGCUUAGAUUUGCCUUGCUGGACUAGUAAAGAAAAUUGCACUAUUGCAUACACAUUCUAUUACAUACUACAGAAAUCAUGUGGUAACUGUAUUACUUCUAUUUUAUUUUCUGCUUUUGUCUUCCUUUCUCUCCUUUUUUGUGGCCUGGGUAUAGAUCCUUAAAUCUCCUUAAAUAUGUUAUGUGCUUUCUAUUUCUACUUCACUAAUCAUCACUCUGCUUAUAUCACAUGCCCAUCUUUGAACCAUUCACCAUGACCAGAAGGAUGAGCAUAUUCAUUGGUCAGCCUGGGCUGCAUGACCACUCUUGAGUUGAGGGUAGGGUGGCAUCACUAUUCACAGUUGCGUUAGGACCACAUGACCGGGGAGGAUGCAGGGUAGACAGACAACGUGUGUCUGCUAUACCCAUCCCUGUGUUAUACCUUUUCUAUUGAGAAAUGUAAUUGUUAUGACUAAACUGAUUCCCUCUGGCUAAUUCCUUUCCUCUUCUGCCAGCUGGUCAGAAUCUUUUCAUGAUUCUCCGUCAAUAAAAGGCAACAGUUAAACCCUUAAAUGUUCUUGAGAAGUUACAUUAUUUCAUAGCCUUUACAAAUUUAACAGUGAGAAAAUCCCCAUUUCCAUUAAAUUUUCCCAGGCAGAAUUUCUAAAUCUUUUGUCAUCUUCUUAGAUCUUAUAGACAGUGUUUUCUUUCCUGCCUUUUUCUAGUUCAGGAUUCCAAAUGGAGCUGAUGUGAAAGAUAUAGUGUAGGAUAUUGGUAAAAAAAAAUAUGAAUUUCUGGGUCAACUGACUUGUGUUCAAAUUCCACUUCAACCACUAGACCAGCAGUGGUUGGGG